rnacentral:rRNA from 1 species
UACGGAGGGAGCUAGCGUUGUUCGGAAUUACUGGGCGUAAAGCGCACGUAGGCGGCUUUGUAAGUUAGAGGUGAAAGCCCGGGGCUCAACUCCGGAAUUGCCUUUAAGACUGCAUCGCUAGAAUUGUGGAGAGGUAAGUGGAAUUCCGAGUGUAGAGGUGAAAUUCGUAGAUAUUCGCAAGAACACCAGUGGCGAAGGCGGCUCACUGGCCCGAUACUGACGCUGAGGCACGAAAGCGUGGGGAGCAAACAGG